rnacentral:rRNA from 1 species
UACGGAGGGUGCUAACGUUGUCCGGAUUUACUGGGCGUAAAGCGCAUGUAGGUGGUUUGGCAAGUCUAUGGUUAAAGACCAACGCUCAACGUUGGACCGGUUGUUGAAACUGCCUGACUAGAGGGUAGCAGGGGUAAGCGGAACUUUGAGUGUAGGAGUGAAAUCCGUAGAUAUUCAAAGGAACACCAAUGGCGAAGGCAGCUUACUGGGCUAUUUCUGACACUGAGAUGCGAAAGCGUGGGGAGCAAACGGG